rnacentral:rRNA from 1 species
AUAUCAGUCAUGCAUAGCAUAUCAAUAAGCGGAGGAAAAGAAACUAACAAGGAUUCCCUUAGUAACGGCGAGUGAAGCGGGAAGAGCUCAAAUUUGAAAUCUUCAAGGUUUUACCUUGACGAAUUGUAGUUUAAAGAAGUGUUUUCUGUUGAAGUUUUGGUAAAAGUUCUUUGGAAUAGGACAUCAUAGAGGGUGAGAAUCCCGUAUUUGACCAUUACUUUCCAGCUUUGUGAUACACUUUCAAAGAGUCGGAUUGUUUGGGAAUGCAGUCCAAAAUGAGUGGUAAAUUUCAUCUAAAGCUAAAUAUUGGCGAGAGACCGAUAGCGAACAAGUACCGUGAGGGAAAGAUGAAAAGAACUUUGAAAAGAGAGUUAAACAGUACGUGAAAUUGUCAAAAGGGAAGCGUUUGACACCAGUGUUGUUUUCUCGAAAAUCAAUUAAAAAGAGUUGGAUUUUGUGUUGUAUUGACUUUAUCAGCUUUCUUCACUCUUUUCCAGCUUUUUUUAAUGCACUUUUCGUUUAACAAGUCAACAUCAGUUUCUUUUGUUGUAAAAAGGUCAUUGGAAGGUGGCUUUCUCUUCGGAGAAAGUGUUUAUAGCCUUUGACUCAUGCAAUCGGAGAGACUGAGGUCUGCAGCGUAGAUCCUUCGGGGUUAGAUACAUUUGUGCUAAGUUAUAGCUUUUCAUAGACAACUUGUUGACUAUGUUUAGUCUUGUAGCUUACUCGCUUAUGCUAUUUUACCUACGCUUAGGAUGUUGAACUCUAUCACACACAG